CAUACCUGUUCGAGCGUCAUUACACCUCUCAAAUACUUGCAUUUGGUGUUGGGCUUUGCCUUUAGGCAUGCCUAAAAAUCAGUGACGGUACGUUGAACCACAGACGCGCAAAUGUCGUUAUGUAGGGGAGAUGGUGCCUGUCCAAUGAUGAAUUUCUAAAUGUUGACCUCGGAUCAGGUAGGAAUACCCGCUGAACUUAA
rnacentral:misc_RNA from 1 species